rnacentral:tRNA from 1 species
GCCGGAGUGGCGGAACUGGCAGACGCAAGGGACUUAAAAUCCCUCGAUCAGCAAUGAUCGUACCGGUUCGAUUCCGGUCUCCGGCA